AAAAUUGAAUAUACGGCACUGCAAAAUGCAAUAAUGGGCUAGGGCUCACAAAAAAGGGUCCAAUAUGGUACUGCGAAAUGCAAUAAUGCCUCUUCGUUAGAUGGGCUAGGGCCCAUAAAAAAUGGCCUAAUAUGGCGUGCAAGAAACAUUUUUCAGCACAAAAAAUAGUGCGGAAACCUAAAAUGAGAUGGUCCAACAAAAUUUGGCUCACAAAGGCUC
rnacentral:lncRNA from 1 species